GACGAACGCUGGCGGCGUGCCUAAUACAUGCAAGUCGAGCGAGACUCCUCGGAGUCUAGCGGCGGACGGGUGAGUAACACGUGGGCAACCUGCCUGUGAGACUGGGAUAACACCGGGAAACCGGUGCUAAUACCGGAUAAUCCUUUUCUUCUCAUGAGGAAAAGCUGAAAGUCGGUUUCGGCUGACACUUACAGAUGGGCCCGCGGCGCAUUAGCUAGUUGGUGAGGUAACGGCUCACCAAGGCGACGAUGCGUAGCCGACCUGAGAGGGUGAUCGGCCACACUGGGACUGAGGCACGGCCCAGACUCCUACGGGAGGCAGCAGUAGGGAAUCUUCCACAAUGGACGAAAGUCUGAUGGAGCAACGCCGCGUGAGCGAUGAAGGCCUUCGGGUCGUAAAGCUCUGUUGUUAGGGAAGAACAAGUACCGGAGUAACUGCCGGUACCUUGACGGUACCUAACCAGAAAGCCACGGCUAACUACGUGCCAGCCGCCGCGGUAACAC
rnacentral:rRNA from 1 species